rnacentral:rRNA from 1 species
GAUGAACGCUGGCGGCGUGCCUAAUACAUGCAAGUCGAGCGAACGGACGAGAAGCUUGCUUCUCUGAUGUUAGCGGCGGACGGGUGAGUAACACGUGGAUAACCUACCUAUAAGACUGGGAUAACUUCGGGAAACCGGAGCUAAUACCGGAUGAUAUUUUGAACCGCAUGGUUCAAAAGUGAAAGACGGUCUUGCUGUCACUUAUAGAUGGAUCCGCGCUGCAUUAGCUAGUUGGUAAGGUAAUGGCUUACCAAGGCAACGAUGCAUAGCCGACCUGAGAGGGUGAUCGGCCACACUGGAACUGAGACACGGUCAGACUCCUACGGGAGGCAGCAGUAGGGAAUCUUCCGCAAUGGGCGAAAGCCUGACGGAGCAACGCCGCGUGAGUGAUGAAGGUCUUCGGAUCGUAAAACUCUGUUAUUAGGGAAGAACAUAUGUGUAAGUAACUGUGCACAUCUUGACGGUACCUAAUCAGAAAGCCACGGCUAACUACGUG